UUUUUAUUCUGCAUUCUGUUUUGAUGUUAUUAUAUUUGCAUUUAUGGUUCUUUAUUACUUUUUGAUCAAAUUAUAUGCAUAUGCUUCAUAAAUUAAGACUACAGUAGGUGUUGUUUUUUCUCUCAAUAUGAAAUCAAUUGGUUGAUUGCACGAUAGUGUAAUGACAUAAGAAGUUACAAACUUGAUAUGGAAGACUCUGAAGUCUGCAAAAGGAAGAGUCACCAACUUAGUCACCUUAGAUAAGAAUCUAGGAAAAAUUUCUGUUAGAAUAUGAGUCAUUGUUUUAUGUCUGUUAUCUUAAGAAACAUUCAUAUCAUCUCAUGUACACCAUAUGAAAAAUGGAAUGAAGGGGUAAAAUGUUGAAGAAAUUAGUUAAUGCUAGGACAAAUCUUUAGUCUUUCAAGUUUCAACCACUAUUUUUAUGUGUCUAAGCUCAAUUCCCAUUCCCCUGAUUUUCACUGCAUUCAGUUUACAUCAGAUAGUUUACACCAGUU
rnacentral:lncRNA from 1 species